CGGAGGCGGCGGCGGGAGGGGCGGAGGCUGCGGGCAGCCCCAGCGCGGGCGCGGGAGGAGAGAGGCCGAGCCCGCGGCCGCGUGGGGACGACCGGAGGGCGAGCGGCCGGAGCGGCGGGGGCCCCUAUGGGGGUGAAGCGCGCCCCCGCGGCCGGCGCGGGCCCCGACCCGAGCUCGGGAGCCCGCCCCGGCUGGGGUGCGACCGCGUUACCGCGUCGGCCCGUGGGACGCGGAGGGGCGCCCAGUGCGCGGAUAACACCGUGUAUCUGAAUUUGCCGAACGUUUAUCUGUGCUUGCUCCUUAAAAAGGUAAGAUCCCCCCCUCCCCAAGAACCAACUUCUGCCCGCUUUGAGGGAAUAUGGCCUCCGAUGACAACGCAGGGUUUAGGGGACAUCAGAAGGGGCUUCGUGGAGGGAGUGGCGACUAAGAUAAGCCUUUAAGUUCGAAGUGGUCACUGAAGGAGCCCCUCUUUCCCCGACUUCUGAAUUGAGCCCGCUGAAAUCGAGGAUGCCGCAGUAGCCCAGAAGGAGGGCGGCCGGAGCCAGACCCCGACCAAGGCGAGGAAAGCGCUUCCCGGUGCCGUUUUUUCUUCGGGACAGCCCAGUCGCUAGAGCUCAGUGGGACCGCCUCCUCCCUCCUCGCCCUACAAAAUGGGGGAACUCGCUCCAGCGCUCCACGUGGGCUGGGGGCGGCUGUGGUUCAGCCCGCGGGACUUUCACUUGAUGCUCGGCUCUGGGUGUGGCAUCAUCUGCAAUGGCACCCGAUCCUACAGCGGAGCCCCUCAUUUGUCUGAGAAAAAAGAAUAAAAGGAAAGAACUUGCUGUCCCACCGUGAAGAGAGUGGUGGGCCUCCUGUCUCCAGCCGUGGCACCUCUAGCAUCUGCUACAGAAUUUGCGCCAAGGCCCUGUGCUUCUGGGAGGUUCCCCAUGGAGGGAUCACAGUGGACCCUCCAAAACUGAUUCAGAUGAGAAGCAGGCAGCAUUUGGAUGAUGUGUGCUGCCAUGACGGCGGGCAGGCACCGGACAGUGGAGAGGACUUAUCAACAGUACCAGCCAAGGAAUGACUGGUUUCGCCCUGGAGGGCUUGGGGAAGUCUCUCAUAGGAGGAACAUAAGCAAAGCGGGACUUAUCUGACACCGGAGAAGACACUUGGAGGGACAGAUGGCUGAAGUCUGGCUCAGGGAGAAAUCUACUUUGGAGCAGAAUGAGGACGGGCUCUUGGUAAUGCGGUUGAGGACAAACACAGUGGCAGAAGGAAAUCUGCAGCCGGGGGCGAUGGCCAGAGAGAUGAGAGAGAGAAAGAGACAGGGAGACAGAGACACACAGAGAGAAAGGCAGCAAGGAGAGGAGAAUUUAGAAUGGAGAAGCGUCAGGAUGCCCAGAUCCCAGGUCUAACACUUGUAUCUUCAAUUAAAAGGCAAAGGGAUCUUUGUACUUCCUGUAAGAUGUUGUCAGGUAGCAUUCAAGAAUCUUGCGCCAAAUGACAGUCCCCCUCCAAUGCUAUGUAAGCACAUUCUUUUGCAUAAUCACUUCUGCAUAGCAUUUUUUCAUUUUUAUUGAUUUGUUUUAAUUUAAUACACAUACAAGAAUAUCUUCCAUUUUAAAAAAUUUGCAUUUCUUUAAUUGCUUUGGAGGCUGUGCACUCUAUUCUGUGGUGAUUUACUCUGCCAAUAAAUAUGUAAUCCUA